rnacentral:rRNA from 1 species
GGCUCAGGAUGAACGCUAGCGGCAGGCUUAAUACAUGCAAGUCGAGGGGCAGCAUGGUGUAGCAAUACACUGAUGGCGACCGGCAAACGGGUGCGGAACACGUACAGAACCUUCCUUCGAGCGGGGAAUAGCCCAGAGAAAUUUGGAUUAAUACCGCAUAAUAUGCCGAGGUCGCAUGACUUUGGUAUUAAAGCAGCAAUGCACUUAGAGAUGAGUGUGCGUCCCAUUAGGUAGUUGGUGAGGUAACGGCUCACCAAGCCUAUGAUGGGUAGCCGGUCUGAGAGGAUGGUCGGCCACACGGGCACUGAGACACGGGCCCGACUCCUACGGGAGGCAGCAGUAAGGAAUAUUGGUCAAUGGUGGAAGCACUGAACCAGCCAUGCCGCGUGGAGGAAUAAGGUCCUACGGAUUGUAAACUCCUUUUGACGAGGAAGAAAGUGUUAGAUUUAUCUAAUUUUGACGGUACUCGUAGAAUAAGCACCGGCUAACUCCGUG